UUGUUGGACUUGUGCUGUUCAGUAUGUAAGAAAUGUUUUGGAACAUGUGAAGGAAGUUGCUAACUUUUUCAACUCUUCCCAAUGCAGACAACUAAUUUUGGAGAAAUGCAUUGGAGAGCACUGUCCAGAUUCUGCAAAAAAGAGAUUGAAAAGUGCUUGUAAGACAAGAUGGCAAAUUUAUUUUCUUCA